GUGUUUACACUUUCAGAGUGAGAAUAUUUUAUUGAAUCACAAUAAAAAAAGGAUUAAACAAGUAAAGAGAAGAAAUCUUUUACUAAAAAGUGAUUUAAAAAAGAAAAGGCGGUCCGUACCAAAAGUGAGCAAUUACCUGAAUAUAAUAAAAAACUAUCCAGAGGAUGUAUUUCAAUCGCAUUUUCGGAUGGCGCGAUCAACUUUUAUGAUAUUGCGAAACUCUAUCCAACCAUAUUGGACCAGGUCAUUGCGCGGCCGGUUGGGGCAUUCCCUUGAAAUGUGCCUUUAUGUAACGCUGUGGAAAUUGGGUAACAGCAACGUCACGUUUCGCGAGCUUAGUGACCGGUUUGGUGUUGCGAAGGGAACCACGCAUAAAAUAUUUUUUAAUCUUAUUAAAAUGGUUUCUUCAUUAAAAAAUGAAAUAACAUGGCCUUCUGCUGUUAAACAAAGGCAAGUAAUGGAACAUUUCGAAAGGAGCCGAUGCAAUCCUUUUUCAUUAUUUUGCAGGCCAUAUGUGACAGUAAAUUUCGCUUUCUGGAUGUAUUUAUUGGAUGUCCAGGCAGUUGCCAUGAUACUCAUGUAUGGAAAACUAGCCCUAUUUAUAAAGGAAUUAUUUCCGGUGAAGUGGAACUUGCUGAAAAUGCAGUCAUUUUAGGAGAUUCUGCCUAUCCUUUAUCAAAAUUCCUGCUCACACCUUACAGAGAUAAUGGGCAUUUAAGAUCGGAAGAAAGAAACUUUAAUUACUGCUUAAGCUCAACUCGUGUUUUUAUCGAGCAGUCGUAUGGAAUUUUGAAACAAAAGUUUUAAAUACUAAAUUAUAUAAACUUGAGGUCAGUCAAAAAAGCAUCAAUGGUAAUAUUUGCCUGUACAAUAUUGCACAACUUUAUUAUAAAUAGAGGAAACCCUUCGAAAUAUCUUGUUGGAUUACCAGAAAAUAAUAACGUCAUAAAUGAAGAAAAUGAAAAUCACCUUAGUACUUCCAUGGCACCUCAAGAAAAUGACGAUUUAGAUGGAAUUGCUAUAAGGCGCAAUUUGACAACGUUGUUUUGUUCUUAAAUAAAUAUAAGUAAAAUACUUAUGA